AAUAGAUACCCGAGGUAGUCCACGCCGUAAACGACUGAGUGCUAAGUCGUUAGAGGGUUUCCGCCCUUUAGGUGCUGCAGCUAACGCAUUAAGCACUCCGCCUGGGGAGUACGGUCGCAAGACUGAAACUCAAAGGAAUUGACGGGGGCCCGCACAAGCGGUGGAGCAUGUGGUUUAAUUCGAAGCAACGCGAAGAACCUUACCAGGUCUUGACAUCCCACUGACCGGUAUAGAGAUAUACCUUUCCCUUCGGGGACAGUGGUGACAGGUGGUGCAUGGUUGUCGUCAGCUCGUGUCGUGAGAUGUUGGGUUAAGUCCCGCAACGAGCGCAACCCUUGAUCUUAGUUGCCAGCAUUUAGUUGGGCACUCUAAGGUGACUGCCGGUGACAAACCGGAGGAAGGUGGGGAUGACGUCAAAUCAUCAUGCCCCUUAUGACCUGGGCUACACACGUGCUACAAUGGAUGGUACAAAGGGCUGCAAGACUGCGAAGUCAAGCCAAUCCCAUAAAACCAUUCUCAGUUCGGAUUGCAGGU
rnacentral:rRNA from 1 species